GUAAUGGCAGGUCAGCAUACUGCCGUGAAUACGUUCCCGGGCCUUGUACACACCGCCCGUCACACCAUGAGAGUUAGGAAUACCCGAAGCCUGUGAGCUAACUUUAAUAGAGGCAGCAGUCGAAGGUAGAACUAAUGAUUGGGGUGAAGUCGUAACAAGGUAGC
rnacentral:rRNA from 1 species